rnacentral:rRNA from 1 species
AUUGAACGCUGGCGGAAUGCUUUACACAUGCAAGUCGAACGGCAGCACGGACUUCGGUCUGGUGGCGAGUGGCGAACGGGUGAGUAAUGUAUCGGAACGUGCCCAGUCGUGGGGGAUAACGUAGUGAAAAUUACGCUAAUACCGCAUACGAUCUAUGGAUGAAAGCGGGGGAUCGCAAGACCUCGCGCGAUUGGAGCGGCCGAUAUCAGAUUAGGUAGUUGGUGGGGUAAAGGCCCACCAAGCCAACGAUCUGUAGCUGGUCUGAGAGGACGACCAGCCACACUGGAACUGAGACACGGUCCAGACUCCUACGGGAGGAAGCAGUGGGGAAUUUCGGACAAUGGGCGAAAGCCUGAUCCAGCCAUUCCGCGUGCAGGAUGAAGGCCCUCGGGUCGUAAACUGCUUUUGUACAGAACGAAAAGGUUUCUACUAAUACUAGGAGCUCAUGACGGUACUGUAAGAAUAAGCACCGGCUAACUACGUGCCAGCCGCCGCGGUAA